rnacentral:rRNA from 1 species
AGAGUUUGAUCCUGGCUCAGGAUGAACGCUAGCUACAGGCUUAACACAUGCAAGUCGAAAGGGGAACGAUAUUGGAAGCUUGCUUCCGAUAGGCGUCGACCGGCGCACGGGUGAGUAACGCGUAUCCAACCUGCCCACCACUUGGGGAUAACCUUGCGAAAGUAAGACUAAUACCCAAUGAUAUCUCUAGAAGACAUCUGAAAGAGAUUAAAGAUUUAUCGGUGAUGGAUGGGGAUGCGUCUGAUUAGCUUGUUGGCGGGGUAACGGCCCACCAAGGCAACGAUCAGUAGGGGUUCUGAGAGGAAGGUCCCCCACAUUGGAACUGAGACACGGUCCAAACUCCUACGGGAGGCAGCA